ACGCUCGACACCUACGGAAGGCAGCAGUGGGGAAUAUUGCACAAUGGGGGAAACCCUGAUGCAGCGACGCCGCGUGAGCGAAGAAGUAUUUCGGUAUGUAAAGCUCUAUCAGCAGGGAAGAAAAUGACGGUACCUGACUAAGAAGCCCCGGCUAACUACGUGCAGCAGCCGCGGUAAUCUGAGCGGGCUGGCAAGGC
rnacentral:rRNA from 1 species